ensembl:lncRNA
CACAGCUCCCUCGUCUAGGGGGCCUUGAAUCCAGGUAGUAGUUUCCUGCUACACGAGGAGAUGGAGAAGGAGGCCAUGCAUCCUCCCCCAGGAAGCAGGAGACGGAUUACAUCACUGCUUGUAAAAUGAGGGUAACAAUUGCCCUGGGUCAGGGCAGUCUCAGCGCUCCACCCAGCUCCAACCUGCUGGGCCAGGUGUGCCUCAGCCCACGGGAAUGGACAAAAGGGGGCACAGGUUCAAUCCUUGGUCUGGAAACUAAGAUCCCACAUGCCGUGGGGCAACUAAGCCCGUAUGCCGCAACUACUGAAGUCUGGGCACUGUAGAGCCUGCGCUCUGCAACAAGAGAAGCCAUCGCAAUGAGAAGCCCAAACACCACAACCAGAGUAGCCCCGACUCACUGCAACUAGAGAAAGCACACGCACAGCAACGAAG